AUUUGGAUUUAAUUUGGUCGCUAAUGGGAAAAGGGGAUUCUGAGAGAUCAGGGACCACUUCUCGUUAAUCUUUCUAAUCCCCAGGACCUAAUACAGUAUCCGGAGCCUGCUGGAAACUCAAAAACAUUUACUUAAUUGAUGGGUGGGUGGAUGGAGGACGGCGAUGAAAGAUCAGCAUAGAAAUUGACAGAUGGGUUGUGGAUGGUGGAAGAUGAAUGGAUAAAUGGCUGGAGAAAUAGCCAAUGGACAGAUGGAGGGAGGAAAACAACCAGAUGAGACACCUGACCCAGUCCUCGUCCAGGCCUCCUGGGGGAGUGCGGACCCUUCUCCUGUGGCAGGAGAGUUGCAGGGAAGGCAGCGUGGUGCUCUGGCUUGCUCAGUCUGUGGCGGGCUGGUUGUGGUGCCUCUGUCCCCUUCUGACUGGCCCUGGAGGUCGAGGGGAGCGAGGUGGGGCUGGCCUUGCUGUGACCAGUCGGAAAACCCACUGGGCUCACAGCAACUGGCCCUGGGGCCCUCUCAGGGGACCCUCCUCUCUAGGACCCAGAAGCCCCAGGAGGCUCUGUCUCCAGCUCACCCAAACCUCGGGGUGCCCUGUCCCCUGGGGCUUACUCUGCCCUGAUUCUGCCCUGAAGUUGCCACUGUCACCUGGGAAGCAAUGGAGUGCGGGGUGCAGGGGCCCUCAGGGGACAGAACAGUGCCCAGCACGGCCUGUGCAAGGCAGACGUCUUCCCGGCUCAAAGCCAGAGCUGAGGCCGGGCCUGGUGGCUCAUGCCCGUAAGCCAAGCACUUUGGAGGCCAAGGUGGGUGGAUGGCCUGAGGUCGGUGGUUCAAGACCAGCCUGACCAACAUGGUGAAAACUUGUCUUAAAAAAAAAAAAACGAAACAAAGCCGGAGCUGAGAACAGUGCCAGGCAGCAGCCCUGCCCAGCUCCCUCCAUUUGUCUUCCUCCUCCUCCCAAGCUGCGGGUGGUGUGGUUGGAGCAGGGUGGUGCUGGGGCUAGAGCGGGAGGGGUGCUCCCUGCAUGGCCUCAGGCACCUGCCAAGGUUCUCUCUGCUUGGGUGUCUGGUUUUCCAAGCUCGGCUUUUGCUCAAGGAGCCCAGCCUUUGGACGUCCACUUGUAUUCAUGUCCUCUGCUUCCUCUCUGUCCCUCCCUGGGGCACUGCAUUGGUGCUGGAGUGUGAGGAGAAGGCCAGCUGGGGGUGCAGGCCGGGACAGCUCUGAGUGGCCCACACAGGCCGGCCCUCCCUGCAGCGAAGCAGCCAUGUGCCCACAGGUGCGGCGAGCGAGGCCUGAAGCUCUGCCUCGUGCUGGGCAGCAGAAGCUCUGCAUGGUCUGGAGCUGCCCUAGCCACCCAGCCACCGUGAGGCCUCUCCACCUGCCCUAGGGGCUUUCGUGGGGUCCCCUGGGUGGCAUCUGGGAAGCACUCAGCUGGUGCCCUCCUCUGGCCUGCCCUUCUCCGGAGAGGUCCUGGGCUUCUGGGGCCUGUGCUCCUGCAGGAGGAUAGUCGACAACCCCAAUAAUUGCUCUCCAGCUCCAGGCAGUGAUGAAUGGACAGAAGCUGAGUGGUGCCGGGAAUCGAUACCAUAAUAUCUUUAUACCAGCGGCAGAGGAUGGGGUGAGGAAAUGGCCCAGACUUGGAACCUCCCUCACCGUCUGCGGAGGCCUCCCAUCAGGCUUGGGCGGGGACUGCAGGAACCUGUGGACGUGGGUGAGAGGAAGCCUCCCGGAGCACAGAGACCCCUUGCUGUCCCUCUGUGUCUUUGGGACUUGGUUCUUCUCACGAAAGCUGUGACAGGCUCUGCAGUAUGGCUGGCCACAGGAGCAUGUUACAGGGAGACUGGGCAGCUGAAAGUUGGGGGGCCCAAAAGUGCCCCCAGUGGUGGUCAGGGUGUGUGCCCUAGCACCUGGGACUUCAGACAGAACGGUGGGACUCAGGCCUCUGACCUCACCUUGUUCCAAGAGAGGCAACGUUGCUGAUUCCCAGGAGACUCUGGUGUACACUUAAGGUCGCACCUCCCUUUGGUGUGGGAGCCGUCUCUCAGGAUGGGGGCUCUGAGCCGUGCUUCACUACUGAGAGGGUGGGGGUGUGGGCAGCCGUCCCUGUCUCUCCGGCGCAGUGGUGGCUAAGGUGGUUCUGACUGUGCCUCCCGGGGCGUGCUGUGCAGAGGGACUGAGAGGGCCAUGCCUGGGCACCUGGACAGUGGCACUCUGCGCCAGGACCCAUCCAUCCUUCGAGAGGAAAACCAGAAUACUGCCUACUGAGGCAAAGCAUCCCUCCCGAUGCUCUUUCAUCCUUUAGAGCACCUCUGGUGAGAAAUUGACUUCUUUGCCAUUGCUCAGGAGAUGAAAUUUCGGAGACGAAAAUAAAUGAUGCUAUUUCCCGGCUCAUCUUGUGAGCAAUGUCUCCUUCUUUCAAAAAGAAGCAUCACUGUCUCCUGUUCGCUCAGCUGCGGGGGUCACUUGCUGGUUCAGAUAAGUCAUCCAUGAUCAGAUGCUGGCGGGCUCUCCUGGCCCACAGAGCUGGCAGGGGCCUGCUCCCCAUCUGUCUGCGGGCCGGUGGCAUACUCGCCGACACCCUCUGUGGUCAAAGUCUGGGCUCUGAGC
ensembl:lncRNA